AGCUAGUAUAGCCUUCACACCAUACAGACUAAUCUCACUGAUGAAUAGAAGUAUGUAAUUGUUAAUUAUUAAUGUUAGCAACUUGAAUCUACAGGUGACUAUGAAGUAUUUUUUUAGUUUGAAGAUAGUUUUUUCCAGAAAUCCAAGGAUGGCUUAAUCAUAUGGAAUAAUCAAGGGCAAAGCCAAGCCAAGAAGGCUUGAAAGAAGAACACUAGAGAUAUAUUAUAAUGCUCUAAUAAUUAAAAUGGUGUGGUAUUAGGUUAUGAAUGGAUAAACAGACCAAUGGAACAAAAUUGCGAAGCCAGAUAGAAAUCAACCAGUCUGUGGAUCUAUUAAUUUAUGGGAAUGUCUUUUGUGAGAUAUAUCAAUUAAUGGGAAAAAGACUGUUUAAAACAUAAUUCAGUGACAGUUGACUGUAUGGAAGAAAACAAAAUUAAACCCUUAUUUCAUUUCCAGAUGGAUUUAAGACUCAUGUAAAAAAGUAAAACUUUGAAACUCAGAGAACAAAA
ensembl:lncRNA novel transcript, sense intronic to GRTP1